GUUGGUGAACCAGCGGAGGGAUCAUUACAGAGUUGCAAAACUCCCUAAACCAUCGUGAACGUUACCCCACAAUCGUUGCUUCGGCGGGCGGCGCCUCACCCGGCGCCCCCUGCCAGGGGCCCUAACGGGCGUCCGCCGGAGGCCUAUAACCCUUGUAUUAUUUUACGGCUUCUCUGAGUUUAUACUUAAAUAAGUCAAAACUUUCAACAACGGAUCUCUUGGUUCUG
rnacentral:misc_RNA from 1 species